rnacentral:tRNA from 1 species
GCGGACGUAGCUCAGCUGGUAGAGCGCCAGGUUGUGGUCCUGGAUGUCGUGGGUUCGAGCCCCAUCGUUCGCC